UACGAAGGGGGCAAGCGUUGUUCGGAAUUACUGGGCGUAAAGGGUGCGUAGGCGGUCGGGUAAGUCGGAUGUGAAAUCCCAGGGCUCAACCCUGGAACUGCAUUCGAUACUGCCUGGCUAGGGUACUGGAGAGGAGACUGGAAUUUACGGUGUAGCAGUGAAAUGCGUAGAUAUCGUAAGGAAGACCAGUGGCGAAGGCGAGUCUCUGGACAGUUACCGACGCUGAGGCACGAAGGUCAGGGGAGCAAACGGG
rnacentral:rRNA from 1 species